AUUGAACGCUGGCGGUAUGCUAACACAUGCAAGUCGAACGAGUUAUAGCAAUACAGCUAGUGGCGGACGGGUGAGGAAUACAUAGGAAUUUACCUUUAGGUGGGGGAUAGCCCAGGGAAACUUGGAGUAAUACCGCAUGAUCUCGUGAGAGCAAAGCCGGGGACCGCAAGGCCUGGCGCCUUUAGAGGAGCCUAUGUCGGAUUAGCUUGUUGGUGAGGUAACGGCUCACCAAGGCGACGAUCCGUAACUGGUCUGAGAGGACGAUCAGUCACACUGGAACUGAGACACGGUCCAGACUCCUACGGGAGGCAGCAGUGGGGAAUAUUGGACAAUGGGCGAAAGCCUGAUCCAGCAAUACCGCGUGUGUGAAGAAGGCCUUCGGGUUGUAAAGCACUUUAAGCAGGGAAGAAAAAAUUCAAGCUAAUAUCUUGAGUCUUGACGGUACCUGAAGAAUAAGCACCGGCUAACUCUGUGCCAGCAGCCGCGGUAAUACAGAGGGUGCAAGCGUUAAUCGGAUUUACUGGGCGUAAAGCGUGUGUAGGUGGUUGGGAAAGUCAAUUGUGAAAGCCCCGGGCUCAACUCGGGAACUGCCUUUGAUACUGUCUGACUAGAAUUCGGUAGAGGGAGGCGGAACUCCAGGUGUAGCGGUGAAAUGCGUAGAUAUCUGGAAGAACACCAAUGGCGAAGGCAACCUCCUGGGCCUGAAUUGACACUGAGACACGAAAGCGUGGGGAUCAAACAGGAUUAGAUACCCUGGUAGUCCACGCCGUAAACGAUGACAACUUGACGUCGGUUUGCUCUGCGAAUCGGUGUCGUAGCUAACGCGAUAAGUUGUCCGCCUGGGGAGUACGGCCGCAAGGUUGA
rnacentral:rRNA from 1 species